UUUUUUAUUAUAAGUAAAGUAUAGUUACCUUCCAAGUAAAAAGUUCAUUUUUGUUUUUUAUAAGAU
rnacentral:tRNA from 1 species